AGCGAACGCUGGCGGCAGGCUUAACACAUGCAAGUCGAACGGGCGUAGCAAUACGUCAGUGGCAGACGGGUGAGUAACGCGUGGGAACGUACCUUUUGGUUCGGAACAACUGAGGGAAACUUCAGCUAAUACCGGAUAAGCCCUUACGGGGAAAGAUUUAUCGCCGAAAGAUCGGCCCGCGUCUGAUUAGCUAGUUGGUGAGGUAAUGGCUCACCAAGGCGACGAUCAGUAGCUGGUCUGAGAGGAUGAUCAGCCACACUGGGACUGAGACACGGCCCAGACUCCUACGGGAGGCAGCAGUGGGGAAUAUUGGACAAUGGGCGAAAGCCUGACGGAGCAAUACCGCGUGAGGGAAGAAUGCCUAUGGGUUGUAAACCUCUUUUUUCAGGGUAGGAAGUAAAAUGACGUGUACCUGAAGAAUAAGACAUCGGCUAACUCCGUG
rnacentral:rRNA from 1 species